CAUCGAGCACUCUGUGGAAAGCAUUCUUCUAUUUGAACCCUGAAGCCAAAGCUAACCAAAAAGAAACAUUUGGAUUUAAUUCUAUAAAAACACUACCUACCAUACCUGAACUGGUUAACUUCGAAACGCAACUUUCAAAUCUCAUAAAAGAUCUCAAAUUUCGUGAUGUGAAUUGCCACUUCCAAAAAAGACUCUUAUCGGACAUCAAAAAUAAAAUCGACCGAACAAAGGAUCUACUUGUGCCCGCCGAUAAAACAACAAAUUUCUACAAACUUGAAGAAGGUCAUACAGAAAAUUACUUACUAAAAACAUCACAAAAAAAUACAAAAAGAUAAACCAGGACACUGUAGCAGAAAUUUAGAUGGAAAAUAAGAACAUCGCAGUAGACCUCAAACUUUUAGAUAGAAUCAAAAUUUCGGCUAAAAAAGAUGCAUUUAUUACAUUAAAAGAUCACAAACCAAAUUUCCAAAAUAAUCCCAUGUGUAGACUAAUCAACCAAACUAAGUCAGAAAUAGGAAAAAUAAGUAAACAAAUCCUCGAAAAUUUGAACACACAACUACGAGAUAAAUUAAAACUCAAUCAAUGGAAAAACACAGCAGCCGUAUUACAAUGGUUCAGUAGCUUCGAAAACAAAAGCCAAUGUAAAUUCAUUGCAUUUGAUGUCGUCGACUUCUAUCCGUCUAUUUCAACAGAUCUAUUAAACACCGCACUAGAUUUUGCAUCAAUACACUGCACAAUUAGCCAAGACGAACGGAAGAUCAUUCUACACUCAAAAAAAUCUUGCUUAUAUAAUGGUGAUGUUAGGCGCAAUCUUCACCCCUCGCGCAGAUUGCAAUCUGCGCUUUCGUCCUGCGCAGAUUACACCCUGCGCGCAGAGGUGUGCUUGGGGUACGUGUAAUUCAGACAGUAAAUAUGCGGAGAGACUGACAGGAGGGAUAACCUUUAUUCCUUUCUCAAGUUUGGAAGAACACACGAUACCAGACGAUGGAUAGGUUGAUGCGGACACCCUUUCGUCACUUUCAAGCAGUUUAACGAAGAGAUAGGCUACUGGAUGAGCGGUGAAAGGCCCACAAUGUCCACAUCUGUUUGUGUGCACUAAAGCACUUUGUAAAUGGUCAGCUAGAUCCCAUUGCUGCACUGCAUUAUGAUCAUAUUGCUCAACCAAGACCACCACCCAAACCCAGUUCAAGUAAUUCUUUUGAGAAACCUGCAGUAGUUGAAUCAAAGGUUUUAAGAGUUUCUAUAAAGUCAAAUCAGAUUGAGUAUGAAAACUGUGAAGAAAAUACUUUAUUAAUAAAAUGGUACAGAUAAUAUAGUUGAUGCUGCCACAGGAUUUCAACCGAUGGACAUCUUGGCCCUUGCUGCAGAAAAUAUGAAAAGGAAGAAUAUGCAAAGUUAAUUGUGGAAAAUGAAAAUCUUAAACGCAGUCAAGUUCAACUAGUAGAUAAAGGAACUAGUAUGAACCUAUCAAUGCAAUGUUUUAGCUAUUCAGCUUUAAAAAAAGGAUUCAUUAUACUGGCUCUCCUUAUGGAUCACUGUUUUUUUAAAGUAUAUAUAAGUUUUUUGAACCAGCAGGAGAGUUACCGUUUGAAUUUUCUAAAAAUACUAGCAGCUUAGUCAGUUUUUCUCUAGAUGAUCAGCUUCUAUCAGUGCUAAUAAAAUUAAGACAGGACUUUGUUUUUAAACGCAUAUCAAAUACAUGUAUGUUUGGAAUUUCUUCUCAAGAUUGUAGCUGUUUAUUUACUAAUUGGAUCAAUUAUAUGUUUUAUAGACUUAGCUCUCUUGUUAUAUGGCCACACAGAAAUAUUAUCAUUGAAAACAUGCCAGAACAAUAUAAAAGUACUGAUUAUGGCUGACUUGU